GCCCCUGUAGCUCAGUCGGAUAGAGCAGCCGCCUUCUAAGCGGGAGGCCGGGGGUUCGAGUCCCUCCAGGGGCG
rnacentral:tRNA from 1 species